GAAACCCUCACUUACCCCAUUACUCAUCUCUCUCUUCCGUGAGCGGCGGCGACAGCGGUGGCGCCGCAUCUAGCAGAGAGGCCGGCGAGAGGUGAAUCCUCUACUCUUUCCCUCUCUCCUCCUUUCUUUCUAUCUUCCCACCUCCAUCAAUCGCGUGUGCCGGUUGGUCGUUGCGGAGGGUGUGCACGGGGGCGACGUUGGCUAGAUUUGAGGCGGCGGCGCGAGAUCUGAACGAGGACGGCGGCUGGGGGCUUGAGGAGGCGCGAGCGGCACCAGGAGGCCACCCAUGCCCACCGUGGGGAACCUGGCCAUGGGAGGAGCUCGCCACCAGGGCCUGCAGGCGGAGGUGGAGAAGGACUCCCCGACGAGCGGCGCAAGUGCACACGGGAGCUUCUCCACGGUGAGCGCAAGUGCAUCCGGUGCCGCGCUCGGCUGCAUGUGCACGGCUGAAUCCGCUCGGCUGCAUCGGCGUGUGUGUGUUCUGAAGUUUACUGUUGCAGACUGAUGCAUAAUGUUCAUGAGUGUGUGUGCUAGAGUCUGCUCAUGUGUGUGUGUACAAGACUGAUCUAUAUUAUCUGUUUUUUUGUGGGAACUGAUUGUAUAUUAUCUACUGUUGCAGGAUAUUUUAAGGUCACCGUGAGCACAUCUGGCAGCACAACUCCUUCAAUUGAGGUAACACAUACACCCCACUGUCUAAUCUCCGGUUUCUUUUUCUGAAAUAUUCCGGCGUGCAGGGGCUGGUAGAUGCGUGGUCUCUGCUCAUGUGUAGUUCAUUGAUUGAUUUAAUUUUCUGGUGCAGGAGAGUUGAAGGCCACCGUCACUACAUCUAGCAGCACAAGCACAACUACAAUCUGAGGUUAUUUCUCCCCUAAAUCCUAUUCUGUUCUUUAGUAAAAUGUUUAACAGUGGAAAAAGAAUGUUAGCUUUGGUUCUAAGUAGCUGUCCAUUUGUACACAUACGGUGUGCUAUUGAAUUCUUGUUUAACAGUGGAAAAAGAAUGUUGGUUUUGGUUCUAAGUAGUUGUCCAUCUGUUCACAUGUUGGUGUCAUUUGUAGUCAUGCAUUGUAGAGGGACAGAGAUACUUGCUGAAAUUCUUGUUUUGUUCGGUCUUUCAUUAUGUUCAAAAAUGCUUGCUGUAAUUUUUUUUCUUUAAGCUCAAAUACUUGUUGUAAUUAGUAUCUCAAUGUCCAAACAAUUGCUGGAGCACACUUUAGGACCCUGGCUGCUUACAUAUCUUCUAAGUUCCUAACUAUCAAUAGGUCUGACAUGUCAGCAAAUGGGGGAAUCACUAGACCUAUUAACUGUACAAAUAGGGAUUCUAGGAAAGGGACUUCCAUAAAAAUUUGGUCAGACAAUACAAUACAGAGCAAAGGAACCAACACUGGGAUAUUCAAGGAGAAGAAUGAACCAACCUAAUUCCUGACGGAACUUUACAAGAAACAUUUUUCCGGCAUCAACUAGCUCCUCAUAUUGCGUAACCCUGUCGACGAUAACAACACGCAUAUAUAUAUAUGAUUAGUACAAAAAAUUCACAACCACAGGAAAAAUAUAUAAAUAAAAUCACAACAGAAGUGUAUAUGCAGAGCAAGGGAACACAUGCUAGUUAUAUCCUACAAAAUCAGCUGGGCAUAUAUCACCAAAAAAUGUUCUCCAAAACACACAAAAGAAGGGAGUAAUAUAUCGUUCCUUCCAAAUUCAAGUCAAGUGACAAACUGAAACUAAUGUCAUAAAGUCAUAAAAUAAAGUUCACACACAAUUCAAAGGGAAAUACUAGACACGACUCCUUGAGAUGGCUGAUGCUUGUUAGCACAUUGUUGUUCCAAAAAUAAGUGGAUUGUUCUACUAGCAAUUGUAAAUGAAGUUACAACACAGUUAUAGAUUGAUAAGUUUUCAGUUAUGAAAUAACAUCAUUUUCGAAGAUUAGAUAAUAAUUAUUUUGAUACACAUGUACUGCGACAUUUGGUGAAAAUCUAUAUACAUGUACUGUGACAUUUUAACUGAGUUACCCGAUAUCAGUACUAAAUGUUGAAAACUUUCUGUCGAUAUCUGGUUCUCUACUCAUAUCAAUUGUGUCGUUAAACUAUGUUAAUUCACAAUGGGCUUUUGUUUCCAACUAUAGCUCCGCCAAUUCAUUAUGUCCACUGCAAAUGGUGAAUCAAUCAAGUGUAUGGUAUUAAAAAGAUUGAGGUCACUAAUUACUUGGUCAUGAAAUCAAAGAAGCAGUGCCGAGCUUCCUCCUUGGACAUUGGCGCCAACAGCGGGGACACCUGAUGUACUGCUGCUUCAUCCACCAUAAGGUCCAGCUAAACCGGUAAAAGAUCUGACUGAAAGAAAAAGGAAAAAGAAAUAGAAGUCAGGUUGGAGGAAUUUGAUGAUCUGUAACAAAGUUGGUGGAUCUUUGAUCAUGUAUAUCCAAAGUUAGUCAGCCUUUGAUGAAAUAUUCAAAGUUGAUUGUUUGGUUUGAUGAUAUAUGUUGAAGACGUUUUUACAAAUACAGAACAACAAAUACAGAACAAAUAAACUAUACAAAAAUAUACUAAUAUGCCCUUGUUGGACCGCUGCUCUCCAGCACAUUGUUUGGG
rnacentral:lncRNA from 1 species